UACACGCUGUGACUAGCAUAUCAAUAAGCGGAGGAAAAGAAACUAACAAGGAUUCCCCUAGUAACGGCGAGUGAAGCGGGAAGAGCUCAAAUUUGAAAUCUUAAAGGGCUUCCCUUUACGAAUUGUAGUUUAAAGAAGUGUUUUCUGUUGAGGUUUUGGUAAAAGUUCUUUGGAAUAGGACAUCAUAGAGGGUGAGAAUCCCGUAUUUGACCUUUACUUUCAACUUUGUGAUACACUUUCAAAGAGUCGGAUUGUUUGGGAAUGCAGUCCAAAAUGGGUGGUAAAUUUCAUCUAAAGCUAAAUAUUGGCGAGAGACCGAUAGCGAACAAGUACCGUGAGGGAAAGAUGAAAAGAACUUUGAAAAGAGAGUUAAACAGUACGUGAAAUUGUCAAAAGGGAAGCGUUUGACACCAGUGUUGUUUUUCUGAAAAUCAAUUAAAGAACUGUUUAUGCUAAGUUGUUUAGACUUUAUCAGCUAACUGUUUAGUUUUGAGCUUUUCUUUAAUGCACUUUUCAGUUAACAAGUCAACAUCAAUUUCUUUUGCUGUAAAAAAGCUUGAGGAAGGUGGCUUGAGAUUCGUCUUAAGUGUUUAUAGCCUCUUGCCUAUGCAGUCGGAGAGAUUGAGGUCUGCAGCGUAGAUCCUUCGGGGCUAAAUGCAUUUGUGCUAAGUUAUAGCAUUUUAUAGACAACUUGUUGACUAUGAUUUGUCUUGUAGCUUACUCGCUUAUGUUAUUUUACCUACGCUUAGGAUGUUGAGUCGUAGAGCACGCAG
rnacentral:rRNA from 1 species